rnacentral:rRNA from 1 species
GACGAACGCUGGCGGCGUGCCUAAUACAUGCAAGUUGAGCGCUGAAGGUUGGUACUUGUACCAACUGGAUGAGCAGCGAACGGGUGAGUAACGCGUGGGGAAUCUGCCUUUGAGCGGGGGACAACAUUUGGAAACGAAUGCUAAUACCGCAUAAAAACUUAAAACACAAGUUUUAAGUGUGAAAGAUGCAAUUGCAUCACUCAAAGAUGAUCCCGCGUUGUAUUAGCUAGUUGGUGAGGUAAAGGCUCACCAAGGCGAUGAUACAUAGCCGACCUGAGAGGGUGAUCGGCCACAUUGGGACUGGGACACGGCCCCAACUCCUACGGGAGGCAGCAGUAGGGAAUCUUCGGCAAUGGACGAAAGUCUGAACGAGGAACGCCGCGUGAGUGAAGAAGGUUGUCGGAUCGUAAAACUCUGUUGGUAGAGAAGAACGUUGGUGAGAGUGGAAAGCUCAUCAAGUGACGGUAACUACCCAGAAAGGGACGGCUAACUACGUG